rnacentral:tRNA from 1 species
GUGUCUGGAGCCUAGUGGUAAAAUGCAGCACUCUAGAUGCUGAAGUUGUGGGUUUGAAUCCCACCAGACACA